AAUAUCACCAACUGUUUCUGGCAGCACUCCAUGGAGCAGCUAAGAAGCCCACAAAUUUGUCCAAGGUAUCAGGGGUAAGACAAUUGGCUGAUGAAUCCCCUUCUGCAUUCCUGGAGCGCCUCCUGGAGGCCUAGAGGCUUUAUACUCCAAUUGGUCCGGUUGUGCAUGACAAGGCAAGGGCUAUACCAUUGCCUUGGUGUUUCAGUCAGCCCCAGACAUUAGAAAGAAAUUACAGAAACUGGAGGGGCUUGAGGGAAUUCCCCUAAGUCACUUGGUAGAGUUAGCACAUAGUGUAUUUGACAACAGAGAGAACUGGCAAGAGGUAAAUCAUAAAAAAGUCACUAAGGUGCUGGAACUGUUAUGCAAAAAAGAAACAAGCAGAAACAAAAAGGGAAGUCAGAAGACAAGGAGAAAAAGCGCCCCCCGCUUGAGAAAACUCAAUGUGCCUAUUGUACAGAAAUGAGGCAGUGGUGAAAGGACUGCCCCAAAUUAAAGGCCAAAAUGGAGAGAGAUGCGAAGACCUUAUUGAAACAACAAGGAGGGUGUCAGGGCUCAGGUGCCCCCCCCAGCCCGGGAUAACUCUGCAAGUGGGGGGAAACCAGUAAAUUUCUUGGUGGACAGGGGCGCAACUAUUCUAUUCUAACUCAACUGUUGGGAACUCUGACUGAUAACAAAGUAAACAUGGUCGGCGCCACCAGAGGGUGAAAAUCAUACCCGAAGGUGGUGGUCCAGUUAACUCGCCCUGGGCAAAAGACCACUAUGCAUGAAUUUCUAUGGGUUCCGGAAUGCCUUGAUCCACUGCUAGGAAGAGACCUCCUUCAUAAGGUAAAGGUCCAAUUGAGUUUUCAGGCGGAGACACCACAACUGACUCUGGGAACAACACCUGGGGAACAAAUGAAGGUACUUGCCUUCCUUCCUGAAGGGGAAAAUCAUCUCCCACUGGGAGAUGAUCCCACUCCAGAGACUGACAGAAAUGUCCUACAGGGGUGGCAAAGGCAAAUACCAGGAGUCUGGGCUGAAAAUAACUCUCCCGGUCUGGCGAUAAACCAAGUUCCUCUGGUAAUAGAGUUGUUACCCAGGUAUCUGCCAUCUGCCGUAGACAGUAUCCAAUAAGUUUACAGGCCCGCCAAGGAAUUGCAAAACAUAUUGCUAGUUUAAAGGAUAAUAAGAUUCUUGUACCUUGCAUCUCUCCCUGGAAUACACCAUUGCUCCCAGUCUGUAAGUUGUUGGACCCAAGAUUACCGGCCAGUGCAAGAUCUCCAGGAAGUCAACAGGUCCCUGUAAGAACUCUGAGUGGGGAACAAGAGCCUUGGCCCCAGAGUGCCCGGCAUCAGGCGAGGCCCUCCAGAGCAGGUGUUUGAGCAACCCCCAUGUGAAAUCCACCAGCACAGCACCUUCUGCCUUGCACAGAAUCCUGAAUAAAUCAAUACCAUACACCAGCUGGGAGAGAAAAAGGAAAGGCUUUGUGGUCUGAUGUGUAUUUUCAUGUGUGUGCUUGGUACUGUGACACUGGAAGACAAAAAGAGGAAAACCCCAUGAAUUUGCUUGCACAUGAGUGGCUGUCACCCAGGCGACCAAGAAAUCCUGUUCCUGAUUCCCGAAGAGCCUGGCCACGGAAACGUGACCCUGAGUGUGGAGACAUGCUGUGUAGAGUCCAGAUCUGAACAGCAUAGAUCUGAUGCCUGUGCAGGACAUGCCUGUGGCUUCAAGAAAGGAGGACACAUACGUCCAUUUCAAUGUGGACAUCAAGCUCCAGAAGCAUGUGGAGAAGCUGACCAAAGGUGCAGCCAUCUUCUUUGAAUUCAAGCACUACAAGCCCAAGAAGAGGUUCGCCAGCACCAAGUGCUUCACCUUCAUGGAGAUGGAUGAGCUCAAACCCGGGCCAACUGUGAUUGAACUCUACAAGAAACCCACUGACUUUAAAAGAAAAAAAUUACAGUUAUUGACCAAGAAACCACUUUAUCUUCACCUGCAUCAAACUUUGCACAAGGACCUAUCCUCACCUGAAUACCCUGGAACUCCUGUGAAUCUUACCAGCCAGUAGCACAUGCCACAGCUCUGUAGGAUCUUUACUCUCUUGGGCAAGAAGUGGGCUGUGCCCACCCAGCAGACCAGUGAGUACCUGGCACGGCUGCAAUUUGGAACCGAGUCUGGCGUGUUGCAGAGCAAGUCCCCUUUGGACCUAGGCUUACUGUAGGUGCCGGACCAUGCUCUUCUCUGUUAAUUGUGCGAUCCGUAGUAUGUUUUAUAAUUCGCCUCUGCCCCUACCUGGCUUCCCAGAACAGUACUGUUGUGGGAGGCGUGCUCAUCUUCAGACCCCACACAGCAACAAGAAUGUGCUUGAGUUUACACACCUGCUCCCUGGGGCCGGGCUAUAGGCCCCCCGAGUGGGAUGGGCUGCUGGACUUCCGGCUCUGAUGUCCCAUGUGGAAUAGUAUGCCUUGCCUAAAUCAGUGUCCCCAAGUGGUGGCUGUGAUUUUUUUCCCAGAUAACCAGAUUAUUUUCCUGACAGUGACAUAUUUUAAUCGAGUUGAUUACCUGUUUUACAUCACAUUGUUAUUUUUUCUGAUGAUUUUAGAGUUAAUAUUGGAAGCAUCUCAAUAAACACACCUUUUUAGAUGGGUU